CACCAGCUGACGAGUCUCGGAUAGAACGAAAUGCGUAUCCUGGUG
rnacentral:hammerhead_ribozyme from 1 species